rnacentral:rRNA from 1 species
CGCCCUUCCUACGGGAGGCAGCAGUGGGGAAUUUUGGACAAUGGGCGCAAGCCUGAUCCAGCAAUGCCGCGUGAGUGAAGAAGGCCUUCGGGUUGUAAAGCUCUUUCAGUCGAGAAGAAAAGGCUGCCAGUGAAUAACUGUAGUUAUGACCNGNUCNC